rnacentral:SRP_RNA from 1 species
GCCAGGCGCAGGGGCUCAAGCCUGUAAUCCCAGCUACUUGGGAGGCUGAGGCAGGAGAAUCACUUGAACCCGGGGAGGCGGAAGUUGCAGUCAGCUGAGAUCGCGCCACUGCACUCCAGCCUAGGCGACAGAGUGAGACUCCAUCUCAAAAAAAAAAAAAAAAGAAAAGAAGAUUNNNNNNNNNNAAUCUUCUUUUCUUUUUUUUUUUUUUUUGAGAUGGAGUCUCACUCUGUCGCCUAGGCUGGAGUGCAGUGGCGCGAUCUCAGCUGACUGCAACUUCCGCCUCCCCGGGUUCAAGUGAUUCUCCUGCCUCAG